rnacentral:rRNA from 1 species
UGAGGAAUACAUCGGAAUCUACCUUUUCGUGGGGGAUAACGUAGGGAAACUUACGCUAAUACCGCAUGCGACCUUCGGGUGAAAGCAGGGGACCUUCGGGCCUUGCGCGGAUAGAUGAGCCGAUGUCGGAUUAGCUAGUUGGCGGGGUAAAGGCCCACCAAGGCGACGAUCCGUAGCUGGUCUGAGAGGAUGAUCAGCCACACUGGAACUGAGACACGGUCCAGACUCCUACGGGAGGCAGCAGUGGGGAAUAUUGGACAAUGGGCGCAAGCCUGAUCCAGCCAUACCGCGUGGGUGAAGAAGGCCUUCGGGUUGUAAAGCCCUUUUGUUGGGAAAGAAAAGCAGCCGGCUAAUACCCGGUUGUUCUGACGGUACCCAAAGAAUAAGCACCGGCUAACUUCGUGCCAGCAGCCGC